GCUUGUCUCAAAGAUUAAGCCAUGCACGUCUAAGUAUAAGCAUUAUACAGCGAAACAGCGAAUGGCUCAUUACAUUAGUUUUAACAUACACGAUGAUCGAUUCUACUUGGAUAACCGUAGUAAUUCUAGAGCUAAUACAUGCGUAAAGCGCUUCGUAAGAAGUGUGUGUUUAUUAGAUACAACCAGCCCUUCGGGUCUUUGGUGAAUCAUAAUAACUGAGCGAACCGCAUCGUAAGAGCGGUGGUUCAUUCAAGUUUCUGCCCUAUCAGCUUUCGAUGGUAGGGUAUUGGCCUACCAUGGCGUUAACGGGUAACGGAGAAUUAGGGUUCGAUUCCGGAGAGGGAGCCUGAGAAAUGGCUACCACAUCCAAGGAAGGCAGCAGG
rnacentral:rRNA from 1 species